GCAGGUGCUGUAGAGUUCUUGGCUUCAAUUGUGAAUGACUUGAGCUCUUUAUCCUUUGAAGAAUCAACUUCAGAUGGAGAUGGGAUUGAGGUCAUAACACCAAGUGAUGAGGCCUUAAGCAUUCUCUACAGUCUUCAAUUAUCCGAAUCCGGGCUCAAGAUUCUUAUAGGCAAAAAUGGGGAGAUCAUUCAGUCGUUAACCAACGUCUUGCAAAAUGGGAACUACGAGUCUCGAGCUUAUGC
rnacentral:misc_RNA from 1 species